CGGAGUGUAGCGCAGUCUGGUAGCGCAUCUGGUUUGGGCCAGAGGGUCGGGAGUUCGAAUCUCUCCACUCCGA
rnacentral:tRNA from 1 species